rnacentral:sRNA from 2 species
CCCUGCUGAUCGCUUAAUUCCCGUAGGGGAAACGGGGGAACCACCUUUUGGGGCUAAUCCCGGCUCUGGUUCUGGGUGCGCGUAAGUGCGGUGAGGACUUUGUGCCGGGUAGGGCCAUCUUCCGGUCCGCGCCCGUCAGCUAACCUCGUAAGCGUGGGAAGAGAGGGGAG